rnacentral:lncRNA from 1 species
UUUAAAACCCCUAUUGCUGAAUUUUGCACUCUAUAUUCAAGUUCUGCACCCCUUUCCUUGGGCUUGUUUUAUGCUAUUUGUCAGUUUUUCUUAAUGGAUUAGUACUAGAAUUUUCAGAAAUGUUGAUAUUUAGUUUUAAUUAGAUUUUUAGGAAAUUAGAACUAAUUGGAUUUAAUUGAUUUUUAAUUGAUUUUCAUGAGU